ACAGGUCUUUGGAGCAUGCUUCCAGUACAGCUCCAGCACAAUGAUUCCCAUGCUGCAGAGGGAGAGGACAACAGCUCCAGUAAAGAAAAAGAUCUGCAAUGCAUCUAGAACUUAUUUUGGUGUAUGGUAUGAGAUGGUGUCAGGAAUGGGAUCCAAAGUGGAGCUUCUAGCGACCCCCAGGAGCACUGAGUGAACAUGCAAGGUACCUGCAGGACCCACUUGUGUCCACUGAUCUCUCACAGCAGCUGGGGAUCACAGAACCUGCAGACUGGAUCGUCUGAGAACACCAGAGAAAGAGAAAGACUGUCCUUGCCAUCCACACUACAGCAAAACUUUGGAGCUUUAAACCUUGGGUUCAUAAUCUCACAACUGAGAAGGGUCCCUCCACACUCCUGGAACUGUACAUCCAUUGGAACCCUUAAGGUAAAACUAACCAGAAAAGUUUCUCCCCAGAAGAUGGCAUCCUUGAUUUGAAUAGCUUUUCCCAAGAUCAUAGAUCAAAACUUCUACUAUCACAAGACUCUUAUCUUUGAAUAUUUUUUCCUUGUUUAUGCCUCUAUGAACAAUAGAAAUUAAAAGUGGGUCCAUUAUAUGCAUUUAUAGGGUAUACUUUUAUUUGUGAAUGAUUUUGCAGCCAGCC